UCUCCUCUGCUUUGUGCAUCACAGCUCCGGAGACUGCCCAGACCAAGGCACUCCUCCUGCCUCCUGCCAACUGUCCAGCAGUGCCAGACGGUCACUGCGGCUUGCCUUCUUCUGAUAAACAGCCCCAUCUCCUUCUUGUGUGUCCUUUCAUAAGUAAAGUCAAGUCAAAGGGUUUUUGAUCUGUGGGAUAUUUUCCCCUUUACCCUAAGGCCUCCUUGUGGAAUGAAGGAUUCUGAACUCUAAAGGCACCUCACGAAUUUGUACAAGUAUUUAGAUUGUGGUUAGGGGCUAAGAGCUUCUUUCAUUGUCCCUCAAAAAAGACCAGGCACUGUGCUAAAGCUGCAGAAAGCCGAGAUAUGAACAGUAUCACAGUCUACUCUCAAGAUGUGCAAUGCAAGAUGGACUCAUAUCCGGCAAGCACUCAUGCAUAUUUGCACUGUCAGGAAUGCUUUUGACUGCACGUAACAUCAUAGUGGCUGAGUGAUAACAUGGAAUUCCCUCCUGGGACAGGAAGUCUGGAGGUCGCCACUACUGUGUGUCCCAGAAGAUUCACUUGGCUGCUCCAUUCAGGACCUGGUCAAUCCCAGUGUUCUAAAGUAAGAUCAAGACAAGGAGCUCCCUUGGAUGAAAACAAGUAUCCAAAGCAAGACAGGCAUGGAGAUCUGGUGAGGACAUUUAUUAUCUUUCAUUAUAUACCUAAU
rnacentral:lncRNA from 12 species